GUCUAUGGCCAUGCUACCCUAAACAAGCCCCAUCUCCUCUGAUCUCCAAAGCUAAGCAGGGUCGGGUCUGGUUAGUACUUGGGUAGGAGACCACCUAGGAAGACCAGGUGCUGUAGGCA
rnacentral:rRNA from 1 species